rnacentral:rRNA from 1 species
AUUGAACGCUGGCGGCAUGCCUUACACAUGCAAGUCGAACGGUAACAGGUCUUCGGAUGCUGACGAGUGGCGAACGGGUGAGUAAUACAUCGGAACGUGCCCAGACGUGGGGGAUAACGAGGCGAAAGCUUUGCUAAUACCGCAUACGAUCUAAGGAUGAAAGCAGGGGACCGCAAGGCCUUGCGCGUUUGGAGCGGCUGAUGGCAGAUUAGGUAGUUGGUGGGAUAAAAGCUUACCAAGCCGACGAUCUGUAGCUGGUCUGAGAGGACGACCAGCCACACUGGGACUGAGACACGGCCCAGACUCCUACGGGAGGCAGCAGUGGGGAAUUUUGGACAAUGGGCGAAAGCCUGAUCCAGCAAUGCCGCGUGCAGGAUGAAGGCC